rnacentral:rRNA from 1 species
CCUACGGGUGGCAGCAGUGGGGAAUAUUGCACAAUGGGGGGAACCCUGAUGCAGCGACGCCGCGUGAGUGAAGAAGUAUUUCGGUAUGUAAAGCUCUAUCAGCAGGGAAGAAAAUGACGGUACCUGACUAAGAAGCCCCGGCUAACUACGUGCCAGCAGCCGCGGUAAUACGUAGGGGGCAAGCGUUAUCUGGAUUUACUGGGUGUAAAGGGUGCGCAGACGGCUGUGCAAGUCUGGAGUGAAAGGCGUGGGCCCAACCCCCGGACUGCUCUGGAAACUGUAAAGCUGGAGUGCAGGAGAGGGAAGCGGAAUUCCUAGUGUAGGGGUGAAAUGCGUAGAUAUUAGGAGGAACACCAGUGGCGAAGGCGACUUACUGGACUGCAACUGACGUUGAGGCUCGAAAGCGUGGGGAGCAAACAGGAUUAGAUACCCGAGUAGUC